GCCUUCAUGGUUUAGUGGUCAGCACGCUCGGUGCGUAAACCGAGAGGUCCUUGGUUCGAUUCCCGGCGAAGGCG
rfam:Stegodyphus mimosarum contig55628, whole genome shotgun sequence.